rnacentral:rRNA from 1 species
CCCUUAGAUGUUCUGGGCCGCACGCGCGCUACACUGAUGCAUUCAACGAGCCUAUCCUUGACCGACAGGUCCGGGUAAUCUUUGAAUCUGCAUCGUGACGGGGAUAGAUUAUUGCAAUUAUUAAUCUUCAACGAGGAAUGCCUAGUAGGCGCAAGUCAUCAGCUUGCGUCGAUUACGUCCCUGCCCUUUGUACACACCGCCCGUCGCUCCUACCGAUUGGGUGUGCUGGUGAAAUGUUCGGAUCGGCCGUUUGUCGCGGUUUCCGCGGCUCGUGGCUGAGAAGUUCAUUAAACCCUCCCACCUAGAGGAAGGAGAAGUCGUAACA